rnacentral:lncRNA from 1 species
CCUAGAUCAAUAACAUCAGCAUCACCUGGGAGCUUGUUAGGAAUGCAGAUAAUCAGAUCUUAUACCUACUGACUCAAACUCUGGGAUUGAACCCCAGCCAUCUGAUUCCCUCCAGGUGAUUCUGAUGCCCACUGAAAUUUGGGAACUGGUGUAGGAAGAUAUUGAGUCUGUAGUCAGCCUCCUUUCUUAGGCAAGCAGCCUAAGCUCUCUGUGACAGAUAUUAGCAUCUGUAAAAUGGGAAUAACAAUAGAACUCACGUUAUGGGGUGUCUGAGCUUGAUCAGGAAGCUGACACCAACUAUGGGGAAAAGCUGAGGUUCCAAUGCCAGGAGAGCAUGGCUAAGUCUUUAAUCUGGAGGGGCUGAAGACAGAAACAGAAGCACGAUUUAUAGUAAGCAAGACAAGAGUGAGAGGGAAUGGUUUGGGACCAACUGGGGAGAUGGGGUGCCCUGAGAACUUGCCUUGGUGGGCCAUGGGGGCUUGACUCAGCACCUUUAUCAGUGCAGCCUAGGUGAGGACAGGUGGGGCUACGAGGAUGAAAUUCUAAAGGGCCAAAGUUUGGAGGGUAACGUCUUCCUCUGAGGCAGUGGAAGAACCUGCCGAUGGAGGGACCACAGAAGGAUCGUGGGAGAACAACGGGAACUGCAGGAGAGAUAGUAUUCUGUAAAAUCUCUGAAUUAACUCUGAGAAGCUGUUAGGAUCUGUGGAAGAUUAUGUGAAAAGAAACACACCAGCUGGAAGGUUUUCUGUUCAUGUCUGUGACAAGAUUAUAAUAAUGACUGGUUACCAUGAUUCACAGGGAUCUAGGGUUCUUUUGUGAUCUACCGUCUACCAGCUUCUACAUAAAUUAUGAAAAUUAGAUUGACUCUGCCAAGAAGGGAAAAGACCAGAGGAUUAGAAGCAUGAACAGUAGGUCUGGGUGAGGGGAUGGGAGGAAAGGAAGUCCCCCCUCCCCUGAAAAAAAUGGUAAGAACUUGGGAAAUGAAGGAGGGAAGACAUUCACCUGACUUUCAGAUUCAUGGCUUGAUCACCAAGUAUCGUAGGUUCACAUCCUUUCCGGCUGUUCAGAAGAACUCUAUCACAUCUGCCUGGGAGAGCAAUAAAGAGACUUGGUGGCAAAACACAACACAAGUAAUUGCUCAUCCUGUGCGAAAUGCCUUCCAUCCGCUCUGGGAAAACCUCCUUGUGGCAGGAAGAAGCCAGGUAGUAUGGAAUAAAAGGUCACAGUCAUCUUCAUUCUGAAUUUGACGGAAUCAAUCUGCAUUGUCAAUAUUGCUGCUUAAUAAUUAUUUAAGGUCUCAUGUGGAAUAAUUCAAAGAACACAUAUCACAUAGUUACAAACUCUACGUUAAUGCUGGUAUCCUCAAAAAGGGUGAGCUAUUCAUGCAUAUGUAUGUCAGGGUCACUUUUGAAUGUUCAUGUUAUGUCAUUUUUAUUUUCUUCUAUAGAUUUAAAAUAAAAUAUUUUGAUAGAUAACAUGAAUUUCAUGUGGGAAGAGUGCUUCUAGAUAGAUUUGCAGGGAGUUGAGAGUCUUUC